ACAAACGAUGGAUUAUAGUUCGCUUUCUCCAAAUAUACGGCUGCAUAAUGGCUGUAUUUAGUGCAAUAUUACUUCAUUUUAUUUUUUGUUGAAUGGAUAAUUGCAUUUAUUAAAUUAUUUUGUGAAUAUUGACUUAUUUAUCGCUUCAAACUCUUGCAUAUUAGUGAAUUGGAUAUACGACAUCAAAUUCAAUACUGCCGGUUCAUGGUGAUACGGGAAAACUUCAAGGUUCCUGCAGAUGGUGUUUAAAACUAUUGGCCAGUGAACACAAACCCAUUUAAUUAUAUUUUGAAUCUUCACCAGGAGAAAAAAGAUGGCAGUACUUCUAAUGUAAGCAGCUACUAGGGAAGAUUUAAUGAAGGAAGAUGAGGAAGUGGAGAAAAAGCUGAAGAACAAGGAGGACAAGGGCACAGUGACUUGCAGUGUGUGUCAUGUAACAUUAUUACAACAUCUAUAUCAUGGGUCCAUAAUUUUGAGUAAGUCAUUCAUCAACCACUUUAUCUGUACUGGAAACCAUUUCUGAGAGGGAUGAAGUGAUGGAAGAUAAUGAGCCAGAGGGUGGAACGGAAGAGAAAGGGAAAGAAAUAAAGAAAAAGGCAGAAUGAAAAAGGACUAGAACUUGCAAUAGAAGAAAAAGUUGAGGAAAUGAAGAGGAAGAAAUUGAAGAUGAAAAGAAGAGCUCUGGGAGGAAAAAAUACCAUUUGUAAGAUGUGUGGACAAAAGAAAAACAGCCAUAGAGUGCCAAUGUGGAGUGGAAUAAGUCGGUAUGACUUAAACAUGGUCAAUUGAAGUGUUUGAAUGCCCCUCCAGAAAGCAGAACAAUCUUUGAAUUUGCAGGAAAGAGUAUAAAAUUUGCUGUUAAAAUAUCAUAACAGCUAGACAAAGAUUAAAUAACAACUACAUGUACAUCUAAAGAAUUCUUUUGUCAUAAUAGUGAUUCAUGUGCAAGUACAUGUGACAAGUGCUAUAACGACCUAAUAUAAGUGUGUUUUAGGAGCAUGUUGACUCUAUUGUAAAUGUAUUGACUCCUUAUAUGACCUCAUUUAUAUAUAACAUUAUAUGAAUGGUAGUGUAGUGACUUGAAAUGUGUGUUAGUAGUAUAGCUCGUUAUGUGUGGUAAUUUUGUUAAUAUUUGUUUUACAUGUAUGAUAGUACAUAUAGUAUGGUGACUCAUGUGUUGGGAAUUAAUGUAUAAUUUUAUGUGUGUUACUGGUAUAACUCAUAAUGUGUGUAAAUAUUGUUUUUUGUAAUAU